rnacentral:miRNA from 1 species
AAUGUUUGUAGAAUAAUUUGUGUA